rnacentral:rRNA from 1 species
GGGUUGUGAGGUUAAGCGACUAAGCGUACACGGUGGAUGCCCUGGCAGUCAGAGGCGAUGAAGGACGUGCUAAUCUGCGAAAAGCGUCGGUAAGGUGAUAUGAACCGUUAUAACCGGCGAUGUCCGAAUGGGGAAACCCAGUGCAAUUCGUUGCACUAUCGUUAACUGAAUACAUAGGUUAACGAGGCGAACCGGGGGAACUGAAACAUCUAAGUACCCCGAGGAAAAGAAAUCAACCGAGAUUCCCCCAGUAGCGGCGAGCGAACGGGGAGCAGCCCAGAGUCUGAAUCAGCUUGUGUGUUAGUGGAACGGUCUGGAAAGUCCGACGGUACAGGGUGAUAGUCCCGUACACCAAAAUGCACAGGUUGUGAACUCGAAGAGUAGGGCGGGACACGUGGUAUCCUGUCUGAAUAUGGGGGGACCAUCCUCCAAGGCUAAAUACUCCUGACUGACCGAUAGUGAACCAGUACCGUGAGGGAAAGGCGAAAAGAACCCCGGCGAGGGGAGUGAAAAAGAACCUGAAACCGUGUACGUACAAGCAGUGGGAGCACCUUCGGGUGUGACUGCGUACCUUUUGUAUAAUGGGUCAGCGACUUAUAUUCUGUAGCAAGGUUAACCGUAUAGGGGAGCCGCAGGGAAACCGAGUCUUAACUGGGCGUUAAGUUGCAGGGUAUAGACCCGAAACCCGGUGAUCUAGCCAUGGGCAGGUUGAAGGUUGGGUAACACUAACUGGAGGACCGAACCGACUAAUGUUGAAAAAUUAGCGGAUGACUUGUGGCUGGGGGUGAAAGGCCAAUCAAACCGGGAGAUAGCUGGUUCUCCCCGAAAGCUAUUUAGGUAGCGCCUCGUGAAUUCAUCUUCGGGGGUAGAGCACUGUUUCGGCUAGGGGGUCAUCCCGACUUACCAACCCGAUGCAAACUACGAAUACCGAAGAAUGUUAUCACGGGAGACACACGGCGGGUGCUAACGUCCGUCGUGAAGAGGGAAACAACCCAGACCGCCAGCUAAGGUCCCAAAGUCAUGGUUAAGUGGGAAACGAUGUGGGAAGGCACAGACAGCCAGGAUGUUGGCUUAGAAGCAGCCAUCAUUUAAAGAAAGCGUAAUAGCUCACUGGUCGAGUCGGCCUGCGCGGAAGAUGUAACGGGGCUAAACCAUGCACCGAAGCUGCGGCAGCGACACUAUGUGUUGUUGGGUAGGGGAGCGUUCUGUAAGCCUGCGAAGGUGGCCUGUGAGGGUUGCUGGAGGUAUCAGAAGUGCGAAUGCUGACAUAAGUAACGAUAAAGCGGGUGAAAAGCCCGCUCGCCGGAAGACCAAGGGUUCCUGUCCAACGUUAAUCGGGGCAGGGUGAGUCGACCCCUAAGGCGAGGCCGAAAGGCGUAGUCGAUGGGAAACAGGUUAAUAUUCCUGUACUUGGUGUUACUGCGAAGGGGGGACGGAGAAGGCUAUGUUAGCCGGGCGACGGUUGUCCCGGUUUAAGCAUGUAGGCUGGUUAUCCAGGCAAAUCCGGAUAAUCAAGGCUGAGGUGUGAUGACGAGGCACUACGGUGCUGAAGUAACAAAUGCCCUGCUUCCAGGAAAAGCCUCUAAGCAUCAGGUAACAUCAAAUCGUACCCCAAACCGACACAGGUGGUCAGGUAGAGAAUACCAAGGCGCUUGAGAGAACUCGGGUGAAGGAACUAGGCAAAAUGGUGCCGUAACUUCGGGAGAAGGCACGCUGGUGUGUAGGUGAAGUCCCUGCGGAUGGAGCUGAGACCAGUCGAAGAUACCAGCUGGCUGCAACUGUUUAUUAAAAACACAGCACUGUGCAAACACGAAAGUGGACGUAUACGGUGUGACGCCUGCCCGGUGCCGGAAGGUUAAUUGAUGGGGUUAUCCGUAAGGAGAAGCUCUUGAUCGAAGCCCCGGUAAACGGCGGCCGUAACUAUAACGGUCCUAAGGUAGCGAAAUUCCUUGUCGGGUAAGUUCCGACCUGCACGAAUGGCGUAAUGAUGGCCAGGCUGUCUCCACCCGAGACUCAGUGAAAUUGAACUCGCUGUGAAGAUGCAGUGUACCCGCGGCAAGACGGAAAGACCCCGUGAACCUUUACUAUAGCUUGACACUGAACAUUGAGCCUUGAUGUGUAGGAUAGGUGGGAGGCUUUGAAGCGUGGACGCCAGUCUGCGUGGAGCCAACCUUGAAAUACCACCCUUUAAUGUUUGAUGUUCUAACGUUGGCCCCUGACCGGGGUUGCGGACAGUGUCUGGUGGGUAGUUUGACUGGGGCGGUCUCCUCCCAAAGCGUAACGGAGGAGCACGAAGGUUAGCUAAUCCUGGUCGGACAUCAGGAGGUUAGUGCAAUGGCAUAAGCUAGCUUGACUGCGAGCGUGACGGCGCGAGCAGGUGCGAAAGCAGGUCAUAGUGAUCCGGUGGUUCUGAAUGGAAGGGCCAUCGCUCAACGGAUAAAAGGUACUCCGGGGAUAACAGGCUGAUACCGCCCAAGAGUUCAUAUCGACGGCGGUGUUUGGCACCUCGAUGUCGGCUCAUCACAUCCUGGGGCUGAAGUAGGUCCCAAGGGUAUGGCUGUUCGCCAUUUAAAGUGGUACGCGAGCUGGGUUUAGAACGUCGUGAGACAGUUCGGUCCCUAUCUGCCGUGGGCGCUGGAGAAUUGAGGGGGGCUGCUCCUAGUACGAGAGGACCGGAGUGGACGCAUCACUGGUGUUCGGGUUGUCAUGCCAAUGGCACUGCCCGGUAGCUAAAUGCGGAAGAGAUAAGUGCUGAAAGCAUCUAAGCACGAAACUUGCCCCGAGAUGAGUUCUCCCUGAGACUUUAAGUCUCCUGAAGGAACGUUGAAGACGACGACGUUGAUAGGCCGGGUGUGUAAGCGCAGCGAUGCGUUGAGCUAACCGGUACUAAUGAACCGUGAGGCUUAACCUUACAACGCCGAAG